rnacentral:rRNA from 1 species
UGGGGAAUAUUGCACAAUGGGGGAAACCCUGAUGCAGCGACGCCGCGUGAAGGAAGAAGGUUUUCGGAUCGUAAACUUCUAUCAGCAGGGAAGAUAAUGACAGUACCUGACUAAGAAGCCCCGGCUAACUACGUGCCAGCAGCCGCGGUAAUACGUAGGGGGCAAGCGUUAUCCGGAUUUACUGGGUGUAAAGGGUGCGUAGGCGGCGAGACAAGUCAGAUGUGAAAGCCCGAGGCUCAACUUCGGGACUGCAUUUGAAACUGUUUUGCUAGAGUGCAGGAGAGGAAAGUGGAAUUCCUAGUGUAGCGGUGAAAUGCGUAGAUAUUAGGAGGAACACCAGUGGCGAAGGCGACUUUCUGGACUGUAACUGACGCUGAGGCACGAAAGCGUGGGGAGCGAACAGGAUUAGAUACCCCCGUAGUCC